rnacentral:lncRNA from 1 species
CCUCGGGGCUGUAACAUAAGCGGCUGCGGACUUGUACAAACAGCCUCAGCACCCCCUGGGAGCUCGAGACAUCUAAGGAGUUGACUGAGGCCCCUCCCUGACAUACUGAAGCGGAAUCUGCAUUUUAGCAAGAUCUGCAGGCAUGUGUGGGCCAUUGCAGCCUGAAUUAAUCAGGAGGGAAGAAGAAGUGCGACGAUAACUGGCCAGUGAUACACAGUGGGAGGUCUGGAAGAAUGCACACCCAAUGCUCACAGAGGUUCCAUCUGGGAAAUCGGAUUGGACAGGGCCAGAAUAGAUCCGGGGAAACAUUCACUGAAUAUAUAUACUUAUGUAUUGUGGAAGCUUUGAUGGUGGUCAUGUACCCAAGAAGGGAAAAAACAGACUGCGGAACUGCCCAUGAGGCCAAGCACCUAUUAGUAGACCAAGAAGCAUCACCCAUCCAUGGCCUAAGUCGGCAGCCAGCUAUUGUUCUCAUCUGAGUCUGGGAGUUCAGGAUUUCCAUCCUGACCCGGCUACUUUCUUUCAACAGUUACCCACUGUAAAUUUCCGAAUACUUUCAGCUACUAAUCCCAGUGUACCCAAUUAAAAAUGGCUUUCCUAA